ensembl:lncRNA novel transcript, sense overlapping ZNF205
GUUCUGUGAACCUAGCCGCUGGGCUGUGCGGACAGGUUCGCGUGGGGCUCCUGGGCCUCCCGCAGCCGCGUGAUCCGCCAGCCUUGACCUCCCAAAGUGCUGGGAUUACAGGCAUGAGCCACCGCGCCCGGCCUAUAGUCAGUUACUGAGAGGGGUUGCUGUUGCCACAUGGCGACUGUGGUCACCGUCUCUCCUGGACCUGCCUAGAUCCAAAAGCCAGCCCUGGAAGGAACACCUCUCAUUCUCAAGAAGAAGUUAAUGUCUGCCUUACAGUAGAUGUCCAAUAAAUCUUCUUUGAACAAUUAAA